AGGUUUAUUGGAUUGGUCCACUUA
rnacentral:siRNA from 1 species